rnacentral:lncRNA from 1 species
ACUGUCACAGUUAUAAGCUUUUCCUUGAUUCUGGCAUGCACAUGGAUAAAAAGACAAACAUGUUUGAUUUAUAACUCCAAAUUAACCAACCCAAAUGAUUCAACAUGUUUAGUCCUUUAAUAUUUGUUCCCGGUACUACCUUCUUGAUCCCACACUGUUAACAAUAUGAGCUAAAAUGUUACACAUCCGAUGUUUGGAAAAUGAUAGUCAUGUAAAGAAAAAAAUAUUUACUUAGAUAGAUUAUCUUUCCAUAAGGUUGAGUGAUCUGAUGUGAAAAAUGUUUUAAAUGCUACACUCAUGAUCUUAUCAUCCAUCAACUUUGUCUUGCUCACUAUGCUUAAGGUUAGAGAAGAACAAAUACACUUUUGGUUCUGUUGGUGUUUUCCACCAACAGGGCCCAUGCACUUGAUCUCUGCCUUGUCUUUAUGAGCAGGUACACUUCGAGCAAAACAUGGAGAAGUUUUACAACUCCCAGACUCCACCAAGUGAAGGACCUGGAUCUACAAGCACAAACACACUGAGCAGGAUGCUGCCAAUGCCGCACCUCGAACUGCUGGGCAAACGAAGAACAUGGGUGACACCGUAUCAAGAGGUGCAGAUGUCAAGGUCCACACGUAAUCAAAUGAUGCACCUAAAGGAUGAACACGGUGAGAAGUCUUAUCCAGAAGACUUAAAACAUUGGAUCCUUGUCGGAAGAGGUCAAGAUCGUCGACUCAAGUCGCCUUUCCUGAUCAAGAAGGACGACCCUGGCGUUCCAAGCAUCGAGUGCACAAUCAACGGAUACUCUUUUUAGAAGACACUCUACGACACCGGAUCUGACGUCAACAUAAUGGCCGCAGUCACUUAUUAGCUCCUGCAUGGAACCAUGCCCCUACAACCAACAUACAUUCAGCUCCAGAUGAUUUUUAGGUCAUUGACAUGGGAGAAGAUGAGUACGAUCCACCCAUCAUCCUUGGAAGACCGUUCCUCAACACUAUCAAAGCCAUCAUCUAUAUUGGAACCGGAGAAGUCCACAUGCACUUCCCCUCUGAAGAAGGCUACGCAACCGAAACCAGAGGAGGCAAAUCAUCAAGGACGGAUGGGGAGACUAUUAAGGAGAAGUGGUAAGAUCUGAAGACAUAUAGCUUGAACAGAACUAUCCUGAGGAGACCGUAGCACCGAGUCAGAUGUGGAGAGAGAAGAUAGUUAUACACGAAGAGGAGGCACCGCCGGAACCACCGACUACGUCAUCGAUCGAAUCCCAGGACGACUGAGAAAACGGAGAGUCCCGUUCGGAGGACUUAAAAACACCGAACGCCUUGCCAAGAGGUAAACUUGGUAGUUAUCCUUUUCCCUUCAAUUAUUUAAAAUAGUUUGCUUAGUUAAUCAGGUUCAUAUCAUCUCAAAAAUAAAAUAAAAAUGUUAAAAAUAGUAAGCCCCAUGUGAGUAUGCUCAUGGCAUAAAACCCAUAAGUACAUUCAAUGUGGUGGCAUAAAAAUAAAAUAAAUAUAUUCAUGUCCUAUAAAAAUAAAAAUAUAAAAAUAAAUUUAUGAUCCUACUAAAGAGAGUAACAUUUAUUGUAACACUACUAGUGUUAGCUUUCAUGUUAACCAUGAGAGCAUCAUCAUGAUCACUCAUGAGCAUCAUACCAUGAUCACAUGCCAUUUGCUACAUGUACUAUGUGAUUAAAUUGCUAUAUGACUUGCCAUGGUUGAUUGUAAUGGGUGACUAAGGCAUACAAGUGUACAUUGUCUUUAAAAAUAUAUUAAUCAUGUUUAGAACAACAUUUUGAACAAAGUUCAUGUUGAAGGUUUUGGCCAAAAAUGUCUCUAAGUCAUGAUUAACCCUAGGUUGACCUAAUUGUCCCCCUAGACCUCUUUUCAAAGAUGUUUUAUGAAAAUAAUGUUAGAGACCUUGCAUGUCUGUGACACCUGAAACAAAGUUGUAGUAAAUUUCAUAAGCUACAAAAGUUAUGUUGAUGACUGUUUAUGAAAAAUCUUGGAACACAUCUAAAAUUUCCUCACAAGACAAAAAUCAGUGCUGUUUCUACACUUAGCCGAAUUUGGCUAAGUCUAGAAAUCGGCACUUUCGACAUAGGGUGAUUGGGAGCAUUGUAGUUUGAAAUCCAGACCGAUUUGGACUGUGC